rnacentral:lncRNA from 1 species
UGUAACACCCUAAUCUAAAUAAAGUGUUAAAUAUGAAUUUAAAUAAUUUUUGACAGCGAAAAUAUCAUAAAAUAAAGAUUUGGAUUUAUUUUCAAAUAAAUAAAUUUUUAAAUAAAAUAUUUGAAAUAACUUAAAAAGAAGGCCAGCCAUGAUAGGAAGCUAAUAUGAUAACACUAAACUCGAUAAGUUACACCAAAAUCUCAAGAGUAGUUUGAGACUUCGAAAACUGUACAAAGCAAAAGGUUAGGUGUAACUACAACAUUAUAUUUUUCCAAAAAAUAUUUACUUGACGCGCUCAUUCGAUCCUCUACGCGUCUCCAACCUUAGUUACCUGAAAAUGUUAAAUAUGGGAUGAGCAUAUGAAAUAUACUCAGUGUGGGAACAUGCAAUAAUUGUCCACGUUAAUAAAAUGGUCAACACAUAAGCACUGCACUGUAAUACUGAUAACUGAAAUUCGCACGGUGGCAUACCAAGGACUUUAAAGUCCUGGACCCCAUUGAGCGGGCCCCUGGCCGAAUAGGUUGCACCUAACUGUAACAUGAAAUCGCAUUGUGGCAUACCAAGGACGGUGAAGUCCUGGACCCAUUGAGCGGCCCCUAGCGAUAUAACUGAAUUUAAACACAUAUGGCAAACACAUAAUAUUAAAAAUGGACAAAAUUAACCACCAUGUACUGAAAUAAAUCCACCCUGAAUUGAACUGAAAUAACUUGAUAGUAAUGAAAGUUCACGUUCCUAGUCGGCCGCACCUAGCUCUAAAUUCAAAUAGUAACAUAAGGGCCUAAUUGAACUUUACAAAAUACCUUAAUAUAACUAAACUUGAGAAAACUAUUUAUAAAAGUCUUUCAAUAAAAUUUGAACUGAAAAAAAAUGAUAAUUAAAUAAAUUAUAAUUGCUACUUAGAAGAGUAAUUAAAAUAAAAACCCAAUUGAUUAUUAUAAUUAAGGCCCAACCACUUAAUAAACUGAGCCCAAUUAAUUAAAACUAACCUAAGCCCAAGCCCCAAGCCCACUAUCAACCUCUAAUUUAAACUCACACCCAACUCCACUCCACACAUUCACACGCAGCUCACUCCCUCUCUCCCUUCCUCCCUCGGCCUUCUUCCUCUCGGCCUCUUGCCGCCGCACCUCCGGACGGCAGCGCCGUCAGCGCAGACCGGCGGCUCCGCCGCCUCUCCCUCUUCUUCCUAUCUCCCUCUUCCCUCACUCUCACUCCCUCUGUCCCUCUCCUCACCGCGUCUCCCCCUUCUCCGGCGACCCUCGCCGUCUGCCAGCACCUCCUCCUGGCCGUCAGCAGCGGCACCCUUGUCGCCGCCGUGUCGACAGCACAAGCCGGUCAGGCCGCCUUCUCCCUCUUCCUGAAAAGAGACGCACAGCCGAGACCAUAGCGCCGCCGCCCUGCUCCUUCCGCCACCACCCCCUGCUUCCUUCCGCCGGCCGCCAUGGCGCGCAGCGCCGGCGGUACUGCUGCUCAACCACCCCUCCCCCUGUUCUAAGCCACAACCCCUUUCCAGUUCAUUCUUUCUAUUUUCCUUUUCUUCUUGUAAGCAGUGAUAUGCAUGUUUGAAUUAGAAAAAAAUAAGAACUUUUGUGGGUGUUUGGUUUUGUGCAGAGAUGAACAACAGUAAAUGAAAUAACUUUGUAAAAUCAAUUAAAAUUUACCAGCUUGGAUUCUGUAAUGAGAGAUGGAAAUGGGUUUGUAUGCUGUAGGCGAAACAGACGAGGAAAAGGCGAAUUGGGGACGAUGAUUUGAGGUUUAAAUAGAGCUGCAAGAUUAAGUUUUUACCACAAAAAUGAAACGUGAGCUGCUUGUUCACGUAAGAAAAUUUGUGGAUGAUAAAGGAACCAAAAUUGUGGUUGAGAAAACUGGACGUGCUCCCCAAGCUGAAAAUGGAAAUGAGUGGGCUCUUAAUGUUGAAAGUAAAUUUUGAGAUAAGGCCCAAUAGAGAAAUUUGUAAUAUUCAAUUAUGGCCCAACUUUGAGCAUAAAAAUUUCAUUUGUUAAGUUAAUAAUCUGCAAUCUAAAAUUAUUUAUCUAACUAGGGGCGCGACUAUAUAAUUCACGAACUUGCUAUAUAAAUAUUCUUUUCAUGAUUUAAAAAUUAGUUAAAAUAUAAAUAAUGAAAUCAAACAAAUAUCCAGAUAAUCAAAUAAUUAAAUGGGUUUCGGGCUGUCACAACCCUACCCACUAAAAGAAAAUUUCGUCCUCGAAAUUUAACUUACUUGGUUCUAAGUGGGGAUAGCGAGCUAGGAUUUCUUCUUCACGUUCCCAAGUUGCUUCAUCAGGUCCGUGCCUAGUCCAUUGAAUUUUUACUAAGGGUAUUUCUUUACCCCGCAAAACCUUUACCUUCCGAUCCAGUAUGACAUUCGGCUCCUCUUCGUACGUGAGGUCCUUAUUGAUUUGGAGUUCUUCAUGAUGAAUGAUGUGACUAGGAUCGUGCAGAUAUUUUCGCAGCAUGGAGACGUGAAACACGUUAUGUACAGCCGACAAUUCUGGCGUUAAAGCUAAACGAUAGGCUACAUCUCCUAUGCGCUCUAGGAUUUCAAAAGGUCCAAUGAAUCGAGGUCUCAACUUUCCUUUCUUGCCGAAUCGUAGGACUCCUUUCAUUGGUGCCACUUUGAGAAACACCUUUUCGCCCACCUCAAAAUGUAACUCUUUUCGCCUGCGAUCAGCAUAUGAUUUCUGUCGAUCCUGAGCCAUUUUAAUCUUCUCUUUUAUUUUCCCGAUGACCUCAACCGUUCUCUCAACGAUUUCCGGGCCCAACACUUUUCGUUCACCAACUUCGUCCCAAUAUAGUGGCGAUCUACACUUUCUCCCAUAUAACGCUUCGUAUGGAGGCAUGCCAAGGGUCGUUUGAAAACUGUUGUUAUAUGCGAAUUCGAUCAAGGGCAGGUGAGUUUCCCAAUUGCCUCCAAUAUCCAUGACACUAGUUCGCAGCAUGUCUUCUAGAAUUUGAAUAGUUCUUUCAGAUUGUCCAUCUGUUUGAGGAUGAUAUGCUGUUGAAAAGUUGAGCUUCGUUCCCAUGGCUGCAUGUAAACUUUUCCAAAACCUGGACGUGAAUCUUGGAUCUCGAUCAGAAACAAUGGAUACUGGCACUCCAUGUAGUCUCACCACUUCUUGAACAUACAAUCUCGCCAAUUGGUNUCAAUAAUUCUCAUCGCGGUUUUACUCACGCGAAGCUAACUGGCUUAGUAAUAAAAUAAUAACCCUGCUUCAAUUAGAAUAUAAUCCAGUGUCAUAAGCUGAAUUUAAAUCAUAAAUAAUUACUGGACUUGAUUUACUGAAAGAUGAAAUAAUAAUUAUCGUAUUACUGGAUUUAAAUAUAAUAAAAGAGCGGGCUACUACAGUCGAUGAAAACUAUGACGAACUUGUCCAAAUAUGAGUGAAAAACACGAUUCAUCAGGUCCAUAAAUACCGCUGGAGCAUUGGUUAGACCGAAUGGCAUAACUACAAACUCAUAAUGACCGUAUCUUGUCCGAAAAGCUGUUUUAGGUACAUCAGUACCCUUUAUCUUGAGUUGGUGGUAGCCCGACCUCAAAUCAAUUUUAGAAAACACCUUUGCACCUUUCAAUUGGUCGAACAAAUCUUCUAUCCUUGGUAGAGGAUACUUGUUCUUGAUGGUAAGUCGAUUAAGCUCACGGUAGUCGAUACACAUACGCAUUGUCCCAUCUUUCUUCUUAACAAACAAGACAGGCGCUCCCCAAGGUGAUACACUUGGCCGUAUGAACCCUAUGUCCAAAAGCUCUUGUAGUUGUGUUUUCAAUUCCUCCAAUUCCUUUGGUGCCAUCCUAUAUGGUGCUUUUGAAACGGGUGCUGUUCCAGGCACUAAGUCGAUCGCGAACUCCACUUGCCUGUCUGGUGGUAUUCCAGGUAAAUUCUCGGGAAAAACAUCGGGGUAAUCACGUACCACUGGCACACUUUGGAGAGUAAGUUUUUCAUGUUCCUUGCCUACAAUGCUUACGAGAUAAGCCUCGCCAAAGCCUUUGUUCAAUAUCUUUAUCGCUUUCAUCGCAGAUAUCACCAUAGGCAUUCUUCCUAACUUUGAUCCUUGGAACGAAAAUUCUUUCUUUCCUGGUACUUUGAAAGUAACUUCCCUUUCGUGACACUUAAUUGUCGCAAAGUUUCGACUUAGCCAGUCCAUUCCCAAAAUCACAUCGAAGUCGUGCAUCUCUAUGAGGUACAAAUCGGCUUCAAACUUUCUAUUUCUAAAGUUCAAGGGAAUUCUCCGAGCAAUCCUAUUCGUUUUAAUGCAUUCUCCAGAAGGAACACUUAUGUUCAAGGCUAAGUUUUCUACUUCACAAGGGAUAUGAUUCUUUUGACAAAACUUAGCAGAAAUGAACGAGUGCGAAGCUCCAGAAUCAAAUAGAACAACUGCUGGUGUUCCAGAUAUGAGUAACGUACCAGUCAUUGUGUCAUCGUCCUCUGCUUCUUCUUGAUCAGCUAAAGCGAAGAAUCGAGCAUUUCCUUUCUUUUCUGGCUCUUUGCCUCCUCUUUUGUCUGGCCCAACAUUUUUCUUCCCUUCUAGCGCAUUGUUCAUCUUUUUAGGACAAUUAUGUGUAGUGUGCCCCGGUUCGUGGCAAAAGAAACAAACUCCUUUACCCCACAUGCACUCUCCAUAGUGAUAUUUUCCACAUUUCUGGCAUUGUGGUCUUGUCCCCGUUGUUCCUGGAUUAACGCCUCCACCAAACUUCGGCCUCUUAUCUUGGAAGUUUCCUCCGCCUUGAUUAUAGUUCUCCCACUUCCUUUUCAUAGGUUGAUUCGCUGGCUUUUGUGCAGGGAUGUUUGACCCAAGAGCAGUUGCCACCUCUUCGGCUCGCUUAACCAAAUCGCUAAAAUCUUCAAUUACAUGUGCAGCCAUAAUUCCCUUGAUGUCAUUUCUCAGUCCCUUUCUAAACCUAGCUAUCAUUUUGUCUUCUGUGUCAACUAGGUGUGGUGCAAAACGAGCCAACUCAUUAAAUUUUCUCUCGUACUCCUCUAUAGUCAUAUUUCCUUGUUUCAACUCAAAGAACUCGGUUUCCUUCUUUUCUCUGAAUGACAGGGGAAAGUAUUUAUCCAUUACUACUCCCUUGAAGAUUUUCCAAUUGAGAACAUUGCGAUCCUCUUCUCCCAACAGACGAUAGAAAUGUUUCCACCAUUGUCGAGCGUCCUCUUUAAGUUGAAAAACAGCACAUGAAACUUUCUGUUCCUCGGUACAGUUGAUGUGAGUGAAAAUCCGUUCAAGCUCUUCCAACCACUCUUCAGCUGCUAGCGGUCCAUCACGUCCAUUGAACCGUGGCGGAUUAUUGUUCCGAAAUCGCUCUACCGCUUGAUCUAUCGUGUUAGAGGUCUGGUUUAGGUCACGUUGUGUGGCCUGAGUUUGGGUUUGGUGCUGGACAAAACCCUGUAAAGCACUCAGAAAUUGACCCAUGAAGUCUCCUCCAUUAGUUGGAUGAGGUUGUUCUGCUUCUGCUUCGGAAUUGGUAUUUGAGUUCUCGGCGUGGUGGGAAUGUGCACGCGUAUUCCUCAUGGUUCUAUAAUCAAAGGCACUAUGACAUAAAUGAAAGAUUAUAAAACAAGGUUAUUCCUAAUUCGAGGACUAUGUUCAACAUGAAAAUUUUAAACUCAUCAAAACUCAAUAUCAUGCACUGUAAAAUUCCGAAAUAAAAUUCAUGGCUGCAAUAAUUUUCAACAUAAUAACUUGCAUACUGAACUUGAACUUUCUGAUAAUAACUUCAACUAUUGCAGCAAAAUUCAACAUAAAUUUCGGAAUAUAAACAGUUUAUACUCAUCCCCUUGAAAACUUUUAAAAUAACUUUUACCUUGAAGUCGGAGCGCGUAGUGGUCGAAUGGCUUCGUCACAAAUGACUUGAAAAUAUUUUAAGAAAAACAUUUUAUUUUGCAGAGUCUACAGGAAAGUAGACCUGCUCUGAUACCAUGCUGUAACACCCUAAUCUAAUUAAAGUGUUAAAUAUGAAUUUAAAUAAUUUUUGACAGCGAAAAUAUCAUAAAAUAAAGAUUUGGAUUUAUUUUCAAAUAAAUAAAUUUUUAAAUAAAAUAUUUGAAAUAACUUAAAAAGAAGGCCAGCCAUGAUAGGAAGCUAAUAUGAUAACACUAAACUCGAUAAGUUACACCAAAAUCUCAAGAGUAGUUUGAGACUUCGAAAACUGUACAAAGCAAAAGGUUAGGUGUAACUACAACAUUAUAUUUUCCAAAAAUAUUUACUUGACGCGCUCAUUCGAUCCUCUACGCGUCUCCAACCUUAGUUACCUGAAAAUGUUAAAUAUGGGAUGAGCAUAUGAAAUAUACUCAGUGUGGGAACAUGCAAUAAUUGUCCACGUUAAUAAAAUGGUCAACACAUAAGCACUGCACUGUAAUACUGAUAACUGAAAUUCGCACGGUGGCAUACCAAGGACUUUAAAGUCCUGGACCCAUUGAGUGGGCCCCUGGCGAAUAGGUUGCAACCCUAACUGUAACAUGAAAUCGCAUUGUGGCAUACCAAGGACGGUGAAGUCCUGGACCCAUUGAGCGGGCCCCUAGCGAUAUAACUGAAUUUACAACACAUAUGGCAAACACAUAAUAUUAAAAUGGACAAAAAUUA